rnacentral:tRNA from 1 species
UCUCCCAUAGCUCAGUCGGUAGAGCGACGGACUGUUAAUCCGCAGGUC